rnacentral:rRNA from 1 species
CCUACGGGAGGCAGCAGUGGGGAAUAUUGCACAAUGGGGGAAACCCUGAUGCAGCGACGCCGCGUGAGUGAAGAAGUAUCUCGGUACGUAAAGCUCUAUCAGCAGGGAAGAAAAUGACGGUACCUGACUAAGCAUCCCCGGCUAACUACGUGCCAGCAGCCGCGGUAAUACGGAGGGGGCAAGCGUUAUCCGGAUUUACUGGGUGUAACGGGAGCGUAGACGGCUGCACAAGUCUGGAGUGAAAUCCCGGGGCUUAACCGCGGAACUGCUUUGGAAACUGGGCGGCUGGAGUGCAGGAGGGGUAAGCGGAAUUCCUGGUGUAGCGGUGAAAUGCGUAGAUAUUAGGAGGAACACCAGUGGCGAAGGCGGCUUACUGGACUGUAACUGACGUUGAGGCUCGAAAGCGUGGGGAGCAAACAGGAUUAGAUACCCGGGUAGUC